rnacentral:rRNA from 1 species
UACGAAGGGGGCUAGCGUUGCUCGGAAUCACUGGGCGUAAAGGGUGCGUAGGCGGGUAUUUAAGUCAGGGUGAAAUCCUGGAGCUCAACUCCAGAACUGCCUUUGAUACUGAGUAUCUUGAGUACGGGAGAGGUGAGUGGAACUGCGAGUGUAGAGGUGAAAUUCGUAGAUAUUCGCAAAGAACACCAGUGGCGAAGGCGACUCGCUGGCCCGUUACUGACGCUGAGGCACGAAAGCGUGGGGAGCAACAGGGAUUAAGAU